GGAGAGGUGGCCGAGUGGCUGAAGGCACUCGCCUGCUAAGCGAGUAAGGGGUUCACACUCCUUCGCGGGUUCGAAUCCCGCCCUCUCCG
rnacentral:tRNA from 2 species